AUUGAACGCUGGCGGCAGGCCUAACACAUGCAAGUCGAGCGAGCGGCGGACGGGUGAGUAAUGUAUGGGAACUGCCCGAUCGAGGGGGAUAACUACUGGAAACGGUAGCUAAUACCGCAUACUAUCGGAUAACCCAUAUGGGAUUAGCUAGUAGGUGAGGUAAUGGCCCACCUAGGCGACGAUCCCUAGCUGGUCUGAGAGGAUGAUCAGCCACACUGGGACUGGGACACGGCCCAGACUCCUACGGAGGCAGCAGUGGGGAAUAUUGCACAAUGGGCGCAAGCCUGAUACAGCCAUGCCGCGUGUGUGAAGAAGGCCCUAGGGUGGUAAAGUACUUUCAGGCGGGAGGCGUUACCGGCAGAAGAAGCACCGGCUAACUCCGUGCCAGCAGCCGCGGUAAUUC
rnacentral:rRNA from 1 species